UAAGGAAUAUUGGUCAAUGGACGCAAGUCUGAACCAGCCAUGCCGCGUGAAGGAUGAAGGUCCUCUGGAUUGUAAACUUCUUUUAUCUGGGACGAAAACGGGAUUUUUACCUCAAUUGACGGUACCAGAGGAAUAAGCACCGGCUAACUCCGUGCCAGCAGCCGCGGUAAUACGGAGGGUGCGAGCGUUAUCCGGAUUUACUGGGUUUAAAGGGUGCGUAGGUGGGCUUAUAAGUCAGUGGUGAAAUCUCCGAGCUUAACUUGGAAACUGCCGUUGAUACUAUAGGUCUUGAAUUAUCUGGAGGUAAGCGGAAUAUGUCAUGUAGCGGUGAAAUGCUUAGAUAUGACAUAGAACACCAAUUGCGAAGGCAGCUUACUACAUAUAAAUUGACGCUGAGGCACGAAAGCGUGGGGAUCAAACA
rnacentral:rRNA from 1 species